AGAUCCAGGUUACUAGAACUCCAGAAGAGAAACAAACCGCAAGAAGACGAGCUCUUUUGUGCUCGACAAGCACGAACCAUGUUUACAUUCUCACAACAGGGACAGGAAGGAGGCCGCGGCGGCCAGGAACAGCAGAGCGGGCAGCGAGCUCCAUCCGGCGGUCCUGCUGGCGCCGCGCGCGGCCGCGCCGGAGGGCGGCGCGUCAGCCGAGCCGGCGGCGGGCGCCUCGGCGACGGACCCGCCCUUGGCCGGCUUCCUGGCGGCGGGCGGCGCGGACGCCGGGGGCUUGACGCCGAACAGGUCGUUGGCCAGCAGCACCUGGUCGACGGAGUAGACGGCGAGGGGCUGCUGCGCGCGCAGGGCCUGGCCGACGCGGGUGGCGACGAGGCCCGUGGACACGUUGGCCUGGCCGCUGCUGUCGGCGGUGAUGUUGAGCGUGUAGGGCCCGUCGGAGCCCGACGCCUGCGUACGCACGGGGUUGCUGGCGGUCUCGAAGGAGUCGAGCGAGUAGAACUGCGGCAGGACGUGGUACUGCACCAGCGACACCUGCUCCUGCUGCGACAGCUUGUUCAGCGUGCCGGGCUUGAGGCUGGAGAAGGCGCUGUCGGUGGGCGCGAACACCGUGUACCCGCUGCCGAACGAGUUGUUCAGCUGGCCGUUCAGCUGCGUGUCCUGCUGCGUCGACUUCAUCAGCCGCAUGAACGUCGUGUACUGCCCGCCCUUCUCCAGGAUCGCCGUAACGUUCGGCGGGCCCUUGUUGGGCGGCGCCGCCGCCGCGGGGCCUGGCGCCUGGCAGAGCACCGCCGGCACCGCCGCCAGCGCCAGGAACGCCGCCGCGAGCAGGCUCCUUGUCCUUGCCGCCGCCAUUAUUGGUGUCGUGUCGUCACCGCAAACGCAAAGGUGGUGGCGGCGGCGGUGC
rnacentral:misc_RNA from 1 species